rnacentral:rRNA from 1 species
AUGAAUUAGAAAGAAAGAGAUCAGAUUAUUUAUGAUCGGAGAAAAGGAAGGGGUGUGGUUAAUGUGUCACUGGGAACCCGUAGGAACGGGAGACGACCGGCCUCAUUCACAUCUAAAAUUGCCAACAUGAACACAAACAAAAUCGUCUGA